CAGUAACUCAGCACCAGCUCAGUGUCCCCAGGUGUCCCAGCCACCUGCCAAGAUCCUGUUUCAGAGAGAUGCAGCUGCAGAUUGAGUGAGCAGUUGACCCCUGAACAACAUGGAGGUUGGGGCACUGACCACAGGUGCAGAUGAAAACCUGUGUAGAAGUUUUGCAUUUCUAACUUAAGUACUAAUAGCUUACUUUUGACUGGAAGCCUUAGUGAUAAAAUAAAUAGUUGAUUACACUUUUUUACAUUUUAUAUAUAUUUUAUACUCUAUUCUUCCAAUAAAGUAUGGUAAAGAAAAAAAUGUUCUUAAGAAAACCAUAAAAAUGAGAAAAUAUAUUUACUACUGAUUAAGUACUUGCUUUCAGGUGACACAGAAGAAAAUAUAAGUGUAUCUGCAAACUUCAAACCCAAGUUAUUCAAGGGUUAACUGUACCAUGAUGAAUGUAGCAGUCCCCAUCUGUAGUCUAGGGCUUUCUCCUUUGCUGUACCUCUGCUCACUUCCAAUGGCCAUAUAUAUGUCUUAUGUUCUUUAUGAUCUUGGGCAGAGAGGUCUGCCUACAUGCAUUGCUGGCCAGAUGUCCUGGAAUGUGUAUCUCUGAGGAAAGUGCUAUGGUUUGACUGUGUCCUCCAAAAUCCAUCUGUUGUAAAGUUCAUUCUCAGUGAAAUGGUUUUUGCCAGGUGGGCCCUAUUGGGAUGUGUUUAGGUCAUGAGGGUGGAGCCCUCUAGUGGAAUACAUUAAUGCCAGUAUAAACAGGGUUUAUAGGGCUGGAAUCUUUCUCUCUCUUCUGCUGGUCUGUCCUGAUAAGACAUGGCCUUCCUUCCAUUGAAGGACUCAAUGCCCCAGGCAUCGUCUUGAAAGCAGAGAAAGCUGACCUUAACCUGCCCAUGCCUUGAUCUCAAACUUUCCGUACUCCAGAAGUGUGAGAAAAUAUAUUUCUGUUUUUUAUGAAUUACACAGCGACAAGGAACCUGUUAUAGCAGCUUGAAAGAGAACAGGAGAGACAGCUCACAAUCAGUGAGGAUAAGAUGAGGUAUAUACAUAUCCCAGCUUUCUCAUCUCUCAGGUGGAAUAGCCCAGAGGAAUUUAGUCCAUGUUUCCACAUGUGGUUGAUCUUCAGUUAUCCUGAGUCAGGUGGGUGGUUGAUGUGUCUUUUACCAUUCAUCUUCUGCUCCUGCCUCACUUUCUUCCUUUCCUCCCAGUGUAAAUUUGCUGCCUAAACAGGAAUACUCAUUGCUGGUGGACCCAAAAUAAGACAGAAAAAAAAAAUCAUUGUACUUUUGUAUGAGGGAUAUUUCUCAUCUGAAUUCUUAUCACUUCUCUUUCUUUGACAUCUAGGAAUAUUCAGAAAACACUUUUUUUUAACCAAUCUAUUUUAGAUUGAAUUUAUUGAUUUUUUUUCCUGUGUGUUUUGUGAACCAAAAAUUAAGUUGUAAGCCACCAACGAGCUAAAUGGACUCCCCUUUUGGCAGAGAGAACUUCAAAGAAAUCUGAAAAACUAGGUUAGGCCAUGACUGGCAGGUGGGUUUGGAUGUGUCUCAUUAUGCUCUCUUCCCUUUGGAGUUCAGGCACAACUGACCAGCAUUAUCAUUAUAACAGAGAUCUUUGGACUGAGGAAACAGAUGCUUGUAGCAAUAAGAUACCAUACUCCAACAUGACAGAUAAUAGGCCCUGAAGAAAAUCUAAAAAUUUUACUCUAAAAAUAUUUCUUUUUCUUUUUCUUUUUUUUGUUUUUUUUUGAGAUGGAGUCGCGCUCUGUGCCCAGGCUGGAGAGCAGUGGCGCAAUCUUGGCUCACUGCAAGCUCCGCCUCCUGAGUUCAUGCCAUUCUCCUGCCUCAGCCUUCCAAGCAGCUGGAACUACAGGUGCCCACCACCAUGCCCGACUAAUUUUUUUUGUAUUUUUAGUAGAGAUGGGGUUUCACCCUGUUAGCCAGGAUGGUCUCGAUCUCCUGACCUCGUGAUCUACCCACCUCGGCCUCCCAAAGUGCUGAGAUUACAGGAGUGAGCCACCGCACCCAACCUAUUUCUCUGAAAUAUUCUGAAGUGGCCCUGCAAAGCUGCGCGUUGUGGGAGAAAUUUGCAUUCUGUAGAGAAUCUCCUAUGCUUACUAAUCAUUUUCCAAAGGUCUGACUUUUUUUUUUUAAGGUCUGACAAGCAACGUCUACUUUUUCUGCUACCCAUAGGAUUCAUCUACACGAAAAGAACCUUGGCUUAUCUAAACUCAAGCACACCCCGUUAUCUAAACUCAAGCAUUUCUUUAUGGUGAAUUCAACUCUUUAGGCAGAGCUUAACUCUUUCAACCAGUUGCCAAUCAGGAAAACUUUGAAGCCACCUGUGACCUGGAAGCCCCUGCUUCAAGAUAUCCCACCUUUCCAGUACAAACUAAUGUAUAUCUUAUAUGUAUUGAUUUAUGUCUUUGCCUGUAAUUUCUGUGUCUCCCUAAAAUGUAUAAAACCAACGUGUAAUCCAACCACCUUGGGCACAUGUUUACAGGACCCCCUAAGGCUGUGUCACAGGCCAUAAUCCUUAUCUUUGGCAAAAUAAAUCUAUAACUUGAUUGA